GCCGGGCGUGGUGGUGCACGCCUGUAAUCUCAGCUACUCAGGAGGCUGAGACAAGAGAAUCGCUUGAACCCUGGUGUGCCGUUGCACUCCAGCCUGGGCAACAGAGCGAGACUUCAUCUCAAAAUAAAUAAAUAAAGAUUAGAGUUGAGGCCAGGCGGUGGCUCACACCUGUAAUCCCAGCACUUUGAGAGGCCAAGAUGGGAAGAUCGCUUGAGACCAGGAGUUUGAGACCAGCCUGGGUAACAUGGUGAGACCCCAUCUCU
rnacentral:sRNA from 1 species